GUGGGGAAUCUUGCGCAAUGGGCGAAAGCCUGACGCAGCCAUGCCGCGUGAAUGAUGAAGGUCUUAGGAUUGUAAAAUUCUUUCACCGGGGACGAUAAUGACGGUACCCGGAGAAGAAGCCCCGGCUAACUUCGUGCCAGCAGCCGCGGUAAUACGAAGGGGGCUAGCGUUGCUCGGAAUUACUGGGCGUAAAGGGAGCGUAGGCGGACAUUUAAGUCAGGGGUGAAAUCCCGGGGCUCAACCUCGGAAUUGCCUUUGAUACUGGGUGUCUUGAGUAUGAGAGAGGUGUGUGGAACUCCGAGUGUAGAGGUGAAAUUCGUAGAUAUUCGGAAGAACACCAGUGGCGAAGGCGACACACUGGCUCAUUACUGACGCUGAGGCUCGAAAGCGUGGGGAGCAAACAGGAUUAGAAACCCCUGUAGUCC
rnacentral:rRNA from 1 species